UUGGCCCUGAAUCAAGGCCAGCAGUUUGAUGGAGCUGUUGGUUUCAAGCAGAAGCCUAAAGAAAUGCCUUCCUGUGGUCUCUUGGCCACUUCAGAACUUUGGAAAUGUUAUUGUCAAUUCAUUAGAAGAAAUAUCU
rnacentral:snoRNA from 1 species